AUUGAACGCUGGCGGCAGGCCUAACACAUGCAAGUCGAACGGUAACAGGAAGCAGCUUGCUGCUUCGCUGACGAGUGGCGGACGGGUGAGUAAUGUCUGGGAAACUGCCUGAUGGAGGGGGAUAACUGCUGGAAACGGUAGCUAAUACCGCAUAACGUCGCAAGACCAAAGAGGGGGACCUUAGGGCCUCUUGCCAUCGGAUGUGCCCAGAUGGGAUAAGCUAGUUGGUGGGGUAAGUGCUCACCUAGGCGACGAUCCCUAGCUGGUAUGAGAGGAUGACUAGAUAAACUGGAUCUGAGACACGGUCCAGAUUCCUACGGGAGGCAGCAGUAUGAUCUUUUGGACAUAUGUCGCAAGCCUGAUGCAUCCAUGCCGCGUGUAUGAAGAACGUCUUCGGGUUGUAUAGUACUUUCAGCGGUGAGGAAGGGAGUAAAGUUAAUACCAAUGCUCAUUGACGUUCCGCGCAUGAGAAGCACCGGGUAACUCCGUG
rnacentral:rRNA from 1 species